AGCCUUUAUGGAAUGUUGAUUAGCAUUAAGUAAUAAGCUUCUGCAAAGUCUAAUCUUUUUUUAAUCACUAAGCUAGACCUUUAUCAGGUUGUAUAUAUAAGAGCAAACAUCACUAUGUAGCUAUUAUAGCAUUUGCAAGAGAGAGUAAAACUACUCUUUGUAGCUGAACAAUUAGUUUCUGUUAGCUGCUAGUUCUCAAGAAGCAAUGAAGAUUUCCGUCGUAUUUAUAUCACUUCUGGUUCUGUCCUCUUUCCUCCAUGAAGUUCAAGGUAUACGAUUAGGGAAAGCCUCAAUAUCAGAAAGGCAUGAUCAGAAGCUUGAUCAGGACAAGAGUAACGAUUUGAUGAAAAAAGUUGAGGUUGGUGUUAAAAAUGAAGCAGUUGUCUGCAGAGGUGUUCGUUGUUCAGGUACGAAGCAGACCAGAUUUUCAAGAGCAGUAAACAAGAAGGAACCUCACCACUGGCUGCCAACAAUACAUGAAGAUUACUAUGGACCCAAGAAUCACAGCCCUAGGCACCACUAAUCUGUUCCACUCAUUCGAAACAUUUCUAACUAGAUAGCACAAUUAUUUAUAAGCCCUCACGGUAUAACUAGUAGACUGGAAACCAGUUUCACUACGAUCCCUUUGGUUUUUUUUGUUAGAUUUACAAGUCAGGUGACAAAAUUGUAACCUUUAGCUGCAGAUCAAAAAAAGACUUCUUUACAAUGUUUGGAAU